rnacentral:rRNA from 1 species
AUUGAACGCUGGCGGCAUGCCUUACACAUGCAAGUCGAACGGCAGCACGGGUGCUUGCACCUGGUGGCGAGUGGCGAACGGGUGAGUAAUACAUCGGAACGUACCUUAUCGUGGGGGAUAACGCAGCGAAAGCUGUGCUAAUACCGCAUACGCCCUGAGGGGGAAAGCGGGGGAUCGCAAGACCUCGCGCGAUUAGAGCGGCCGAUGCCUGAUUAGCUAGUUGGUGGGGUAAAAGCCCACCAAGGCGACGAUCAGUAGCUGGUCUGAGAGGACGAUCAGCCACACUGGGACUGGAACACGGCCCAGACUCCUACGGGAGGCAGCAGUGGGGAAUUUUGGACAAUGGGGGCAACCCUGAUCCAGCAAUGCCGCGUGAGUGAAGAAGGCCUUCGGGUUGUAAAGCUCUUUUGUCAGGGAAGAAACACCGGCUCUAACACAGUCCGGGAAUGACGGUACCUGAAGAAUAAGCACCGGCUAACUACGUGCCAGCCGCCGCCGUAA